GCCGAGGUAGCUCAGCUGGUUAGAGCAUCGGAUUCAUAACCCGAAGGUCGGCAGUUCAAGUCUGCUCCUCGGUACAA
rnacentral:tRNA from 2 species